AACGAACGCUGGCGGCAUGCCUAACACAUGCAAGUCGAACGGGACCUUCGGGUCUAGCGGCGCACGGGUGCGUAACGCGUGGGAAUCUGCCCUCUGGUACGGAAUAACUCAGGGAAACUUGAGCUAAUACCGUAUAAUGACUUCGGUCCAAAGAUUUAUCGCCUGAGGAUGAGCCCGCGUAGGAUUAGCUUGUUGGUGAGGUAAAAGCUCACCAAGGCGACGAUCCUUAGCNGGUCUGAGAGGAUGAUCAGCCACACUGGGACUGAGACACGGCCCAGACUCCUACGGGAGGCAGCAGUGGGGAAUAUUGGACAAUGGGCGAAAGCCUGAUCCAGCAAUGCCGCGUGAGUGAUGAAGGCCUUAGGGUUGUAAAGCUCUUUUACCCGGGAUGAUAAUGACAGUACCGGGAGAAUAA
rnacentral:rRNA from 1 species